UAUUGUCUUUUUUGUCUGUUUGGUGGUUUGUUUGUUUUUUGUUUCCAUGAUUCCCAGUGGAGAAUUUUGUAGACCCUGUGUGGACGGCGCCCGGCUGUCCCCAGGUGAGCAUUGUCCCCGUCCCUGCAGGCGGAGCGGCUGCUUUCUGCUUUCCUCCGGUGGGCUCAGGACAACCGCGCUGUGGAAAGCCGGCGUCCACAAAUGAGACGGAGGAGUCCUGCAACUUUAUUCGCAUAAUUGCAGACGGUCCACCCGGGCACAUGCCCGCGGGGAUUCUCUCUCUCGGUUUUAGAGGAUGUGGUCUCCUUUUAUCCUGAGCUCUCGGCCGUAUGUUGCCCUUGCUUCCCCCACUGGCUGAGGUGCUAGGAAGGUACAGCCUUCCCGAACUAUCUACCAUAUAUUCCCCCUUGAACCUGUCAUUUUACCUCAAAGUUCGGAAGUUGAGGCUUGCACAGACCCUUGCCUGUUUGUCAAGCUGUCUGGGAUCUGUAACAAACCUUCAGCUUGAAGUCAGUAGAGAUAUUAAGGCUCAUUUCUAAGACGUUAACACCCAUUCCUUCACCCAUAGAAUUGUUUGUAAAGACAUUAGCAUACAUCUUUUCUACCAGUCACCUCUCAGAAGGUGUUCUGUUCAGCAAUAACUGGAGAAAAUGAGGUGUCCUGACCCUGAGUGCUGGGGUCCCAACUUGACUUUUCCAAUUUAAGCACUUAAUUGUCUAUGAUAAGAUGGGAUGGGUUUUUGACAUACAGUCUUUCCCAACUGCAGUUGCUGGGAGAUUAAACAAAAUUGUAAAUUUUCUACUUAUGUUUUAAAAUAAUGUAGUGCAAUGGGUCAUUUAGCUGAAAUUUCCAUGUUUUGUCUUUUUUUCUUUACUAUUCCUUAUUUCUCUGUUCCUGCUUCUCCAUAACUUCUAGUGGCAAUUCAAUCCCCCAAAAAAUUUUUGUUAAACAAAAUAAAAAUAUGUCAAAAACCCUAUAAUCUUCUGCUCAAUUAUCGGGGUUCGCUGUUUCUUGUCUCUGCCCCGAUAUGGAUAAGGUGGUUCUGGGCAGGCCACGCUUCAAAGGACGAAUCUGGACUCUCAAGUUUUCGGUCUUCGAUUUUGUUUACUAUUUCUUAUCUACAAAGUUUUCUGUCUGCCCAGCCAAGAUAGCCCAAUGAUCAGCAAGGUAGCCCAAUGCACUCUCCCCCGCCCACAGGACAGCUGUGUCUUCUGUAGUGAAAACUACGUGUAAUAUAUUUACCUUUCAUUCCCAAUACUUUUCAUCCUUACUAACAAGUGCACCUUCUCCAUGAACCAAUCCACAAGUGCCAACAUCACCACAGAAAAAGGAUGACAAGAAGAAGAAAGAAGAACCUGGGAACACACCCUGAUUCCUCCAUCUUUUCUCCAUAACCCCCCUGUACCAAAACUCUGAAAUCUAUGUUUCACCUUGUGAAUAUAUCAUUCCUGCACCAUUCAAACCCAAAGGUUUCUCAUUUCCUCAUACACAGGAGAAUGAGGAAGGGCCAAAGUCAAGCCACCAGACACUUUUGGCAACAUUCCAAGACCUCCGAGCCCCCCAAAGGUUCUCUCGGUAGCUCUGGACAUCCGGAGUGAUGUGCUGAGCUCCCGCAUCAGUUUUUAGACUCCUCAGUCUAUUGCCAUAUUAAAUACUAGAAAUUCUAUUUCUCUUCCUCACAUUAUCUCCUAGGGUCACAGUACUGGAUCCCUGUGGUGUUUACACAGAUGUUGAUGCCUGCAAUCAAACGUUUUCCUUUCAGUAUGUUCCAUCUUUGACAAAUUUUCCAGGUCAAUAUUCCUUAUUAGAACCAUGCAUUUUCCUUCCUUUCCCUUUUAUUCUCUGAUUCUCACAGGAUAAUGGCCUGAAACAUACUGAGCUGUAUAGCAAGAGCCAUUUACAUUUUUUAGGAAGAAGGGAGGGAAUAUAGCUUAAAGUAAAUGCAAGAGGAAUUGGGGUUCAUGAUUUUACUCCAAUUUAUAAAGUUAAUCCAAGUUAUUAAUUAUUAGGCCUUCCUUCAUUGGUAGCCAGGAACAUGUGGAAAGACUUCUGGCAGAAAAACUUCUGCAACUUGCAUGAGUGCAGGAGAGUUUUUUCUAGAAACCUCUCAAGUCAUAUGACUGGAUCUACAAAUUUGAGUUCAUUGUCUGCUUAAGGCCAAGAAAGUUUAUGUUUCAACAUCAGGCCUGGCUAUCUAAUCUAGCAAGCACACAUGGUGUACAACUGCAAACACAGUCUGAAAGUGAAAGUAGAAGGAAAACUAAUUUUGCAAAAUAACAGCAAUAAAAUGCAAGAUUUUGUUUAAAACAUUGCAAAUGAGUAAUGUCUGGUUUUGCUUAGAGUUGGAUGAGUUCUCAAAAAAAAGUGUAAAGUUGUACUCAGCUAGUGAAUUUUGUUGUUUGUUUGUCUUCAAUCAAAUGUAGGGCUUUCCUUUUCAUACCACAAAGUGUUGUUUGACAACUGUAUUUCAUUAAAAUUUUGGACAACUUGAGAAUCAGCAGAGAAAAAUAUGCUGCAAAACAUGAUACAGUAAGAACAAGCUGCUGGAAAACAUGAUAUGCAUAACAUCUUGAACAAAAUGAAUUUUACAAAAAUAUGAAUGAACAAAAUAACAUAAAAUUAAUUCUGUCUGUACAACCAAAGGUGGGAUGGCUUGUGUUCAAAUAUGUAAAGUGUAUCUGAAAACGGGAAGGCAAACACCACUGUUUGUUCUGAGACAAAAUCAGAGGUCAGUUUGCAGAGAGAAAGAUUUAUGUUAAGCAUUAGAGGGAAAAAAAA